rnacentral:tRNA from 1 species
UUUCUCUUAGCUUAAAAUAAAAGCGUCAAUUUGAAGCGUUGUAGAUAAUAUUUAUUAGAGAGAC